rnacentral:tRNA from 1 species
GCGCCUGUAGCCUAACGGAUAGGGCACUUGUCUUCGGAACAAGAUGUGGAGGUUCGAUUCCUCCCAGGCGCACUA